CCCCAGCUCAUACGUAAAUGCAUUAAGUUACAUUAGGUGCCACCCAUUUGCACGUCACUCAUAUAAAGUUCUUGUGAU
rnacentral:lncRNA from 1 species